rnacentral:rRNA from 1 species
AUUGAACGCUGGCGGCAGGCCUAACACAUGCAAGUCGAGCGGAUGAAGGGAGCUUGCUCCUGGAUUCAGCGGCGGACGGGUGAGUAAUGCCUAGGAAUCGGCCUGGUAGUGGGGGAUAACGUCCGGAAACGGGCGCUAAUACCGCAUACGUCCUGAGGGAGAAAGUGGGGGAUCUUCGGACCUCACGCUAUCAGAUGAGCCUAGGUCGGAUUAGCUAGUUGGUGGGGUAAAGGCCUACCAAGGCGACGAUCCGUAACUGGUCUGAGAGGAUGAUCAGUCACACUGGAACUGAGACACGGUCCAGACUCCUACGGGAGGCAGCGGCGGGGACUAUUGGAAAAUGGGCGAAAGCCUGCUCCAGCCAUGCCGCGUGUGUGCAGAAGGUCUUCGGAUUGUAAAGCACUUUAAGUUGGGAGGACGGGCAGUAAGUUGAUACCUUGCUGUUUUGACGUUACCAACAGAAUAAGCACCGGCUAACUUCGUG